rnacentral:rRNA from 1 species
UACGUAGGGUGCGAGCGUUAAUCGGAAUUACUGGGCGUAAGCGUGCGCAGGCGGUUCUCCAAGUCCGUUGUGAAAGCCCCGGGCUCAACCUGGGAAUGGCAGUGGAAACUAGGGGACUUGAAUCUGGCAGAGGGGGGUGGAAUUCCACGGUGUAGCAGUGAAAUGCGUAGAGAUGUGGAGGAACACCGAUGGCGAAGGCAGCCCC